AUUGUGCCGUGAUGAUUGCUCGCUUAUUUCUGACACCUCUUGUAUGAGAAGUUGUUCUUUCCUCUUCCUUGGGGAUGAGGAGGAGCACUUCGCUGAGCAGAUU
rnacentral:snoRNA from 1 species